GGGCGGUGACGAUUAAUUGCACGAAUUGUGAACAAAUGGGUUGUCACAGUCAUCUGGUAUAAGAUGAAAUUAUUGUGCAACUGAGCUC
rfam:Capsicum annuum cultivar Zunla-1 chromosome 1, whole genome shotgun sequence